rnacentral:lncRNA from 1 species
AUUGGAAAAGCUUGCAGAUACGUCGAAGUUGAUCACUUGUUGGUAUGUAUUUCCUGGAAGGUUUUGUACAUAAAAUUGAGAAUGGAAAUGGUGAAUUUGCCAAAGAGACAACAACCCGACCAUAGAGCAGACAACAGCAGAAGGUCACCAACAGGUCUUCAAUGUAUGUUUGUUUUGUUUUAUUGAAUAGCAAACGCCUGUACAAUCUGUUAAGAUAAAAGCCUGUGUACACCAAGACAAACAAAUAAUAACAAUACAUGUUGUGCCUUUUAGAUUAAGAGCAGCAAUGCAUUUACUUCAAAUGUACAAGGCGAGAAAAGGUUCAUAUUCAUGUUUAAAUAAUAUGAUAUGUAUGGUUAACAUUUAAACGCAAAACGAUAAUUAUAAGCCUAUCUAAGUGUUGAGUAAAAGUACACACCAUUUAAAAAUUAACAACAUGUUUGGCAUUAUAGGUAAGAAAAGUGCAAUUAUUGGUUUGAAUUCAGUCGUCUGUUUUAUUUACCCCAAGGUGGUACAAUGAAAACACUUUGAGGCUCUUAAUGAGAUAAUGCAGAUUGGGAGUACUUUUUAUUUGAAAUCAUUUAGGCUUGCAAAACGAGAUAAAAAUGCGAUUAACCAAUUGCACUAAUUGGCAAUCUUUACACGAUAUUGCUUUUUUGUUAUUGAUUUAAGUAUUUUUCAAAGGUUACAUUUCCAAUUAAGUGCCGGUUUCUGAAGCUUUUAUAACAGCUGGUGAUUUUCGUAUAAUCGUGAAUUUUGCGGAAUUCUUCAAAAAUGUAUAAAAGAUUAAGAAAGAAUAAUAGUGGCGCCCACCUACACCUACAGAAAACUUGCUGAAAUAAUCUAUAUGUACCAUUUAAAAAAAAAUUCAAACAUAAAUGGGCCAUAUAUAUAAGCAAAAAUGUUAAAUGUUUCAUGUGUAGUGGUUAGCGCAUCGGACUACUAUCACAAAGGUUCCUGGUUCGAUUCCCGUCUGGGAUGAAAAUUACAGGGACUAAAUUGUUUACUCUCCCUUGACACCAUUUGCGAGUAUGGACUUUAAGAAACAAUGAUAGUCCGUCGGAAGGGGUUGAUGAAUGGCUGACCCGUGUUAAGAGAGAGCCAUAUCUCUUGCACGUUAAAGACACCCUUGUAGAUUUCGAAAAAGAGCAGGCUAAUGCCGCUACAAGGCAGUAAUCGCACCCGCAAAGUGAAAAGGGAUUAAUAUAAGUUGUAAAACGUGUUUCCCAAUCCACUAUAAAUAAAUAUGUUUAAACUAAGUAAAGAAAGUGUCGUCUUUUAUUGAAAAAAAUCUACGGAAGAUACCAAAACCAUAACGCUACAUUUUUCGUAUUUAAAGUAUAGAUCCUAGGUAAUUACUUUCUUUGGUAUAUGUAUAACGUGCUAUAGUAUCAUAUUUUGUCUUUGUAUAUUAUUAAUAAUACCUUUUAGUCUUGUGUUGGUAAUAUCCAUUAACGUUGCUCUGUGCUUAUACAUUAUAUCAUGUUGUUAUUGUGGUGCUAUGCUUACUUUUUUGGUCACGCAUUGCUGUAAAAAUAAAGGAAUUUUACGUGACUAUCAUAAAAGAAAGCGGUUCAGCUAGCUAUAAAACCGAUUAUUACAAAAGAACAUGCAAAUUACACGUCAAGAAUAUGACUGUUGUUUUCAUUCGUUUGAUGUCUUUAAGAUUUUUAUUUUGAAAUUGGCCUAGGGAAUUUCCGUUUAUAAUUUCCUGGGAGUUCGGUUUUCAUUAUUUUUUUUUUUUUACUUCAUAUAGGAUCAUUUUUUGACAAUAAGAUACAUACCACAGAUUAUUUAUACUUUGUAAGUAGAGCCAGAUCCAUACAAAAGUCACUAUGUAUGUAUGUUGUAUAAUCUUUAUAAUCUUAUAAUUGUCUUGUUUCAUCGAAGUGAUCGAUUCAUUGCUGUUUAUCGAUAUAGCUUUUAACGUGUUUUAAUCAUGUUUUCUUUUUUGCUUUCAUUUAGGAAACUUCACUAUCGAUAAAUUUGUUGUUCUACAUACCCAAAGUGGAACCAUAGAAGAAUUCUAAUAUGUCAUCGCCAUGUUACCUUAUUUAUAGCUAGAAAUCAAAUUAUAACCUGAUCAAGAAAAGAGGUUUUUCUUGGACAUCAAACAGAAACAACAUUGCGACUUCAUAUAAUUUUGAACUGAACUUUCUUUCACACUGUGUAAUGUUAUGGAAACCGUUGAUAGUUUGUCAUUACAUCGAGCUAGGAGUUGAUGCUGAAUUUUUUUGAGGACGGUCAAAAUUCUAUUAUGAAUCAUAAAACACGAAAAACAUCGCAAGUCUGUGCAGGGAACUCAUGUACAAUAUAAAUCAUGUUGUUAUGUUAUUGUUCAUUGUAUAUACAUGUAUACACUUUUGUUACUGGGUUAUUAUCAAUCUCUAUUUUGAUAUGCCCCACCUAGGAGCAUUAUUGUUUACGGUCUAUCCGUCUAUCCGUUCGUCUGUUCCGCUUUUUGUGGUCAAGGUUCAAGUUCAAGUUUUUUGUCAAUGUAGUUUUUGAUGAUGUUGAAAGACAAUCGACUUGAAACUUAGUAUACGUUUCCCAUAUAGUGUUUUAUAAAAUAAUAUAGAAAACAAUAGUACUUUACACACAUUAUUUGUAUACAUAUUUGUAUUAUGUAAAAGUAUAUGAACUCCACAAUUAGAAAUAUACCUAUACCUAAAUGACAUUCUAAAAUAGGUUUUAACAAUUUGAUGACAAUUUAAAUGUGAUCUAUAAACUGAAUACACGUACCUUUCGUAGAUCAUGUUGAUAUAGUAUAAUUAUUUAAGGC